CGGACGGGUGAGGAACGCGUGACUAACCUGCCCAUUGGUGGGGGAUACCGGGCAGAAAUGCCUGUUAAUACCGCAUGAGACCGUCGGGUGGAGGCCUGGCGGGGAAAGCCUACGGGCGCCGAUGGAGGGGGUCGCGUCGGAUUAGCUAGUUGGUGGGGUAACGGCCUACCAAGGCGGUGAUCCGUAGCUGGUCUGAGAGGACGGCCAGCCACACUGGGACUGAGACACGGCCCAG
rnacentral:rRNA from 1 species